rnacentral:rRNA from 1 species
GACGAACGCUGGCGGCGUGCUUAACACAUGCAAGUCGAACGGAAAGGCCCUGCUUUUGUGGGGUGCUCGAGUGGCGAACGGGUGAGUAACACGUGAGUAACCUGCCCUUGACUUUGGGAUAACUUCAGGAAACUGGGGCGAAUACCGGAUAGGAGCUCCUGCUGCAUGGUGGGGGUUGGAAAGUUUCGGCGGUUGGGGAUGGACUCGCGGCUUAUCAGCUUGUUGGUGGGGUAGUGGCUUACCAAGGCUUUGACGGGUAGCCGGCCUGAGGGGGUGACCGGCCACAUUGGGACUGAGGUACGGCCCAGACUCCUACGGGAGGCAGCAGUGGGGAAUAUUGCACAAUGGGCGGAAGCCUGAUGCAGCAACGCCGCGUGCGGGAUGACGGCCUUCGGGUUGUAAACCGCUUUCGCCUGUGACGAAGCGUGAGUGACGGUAAUGGGUAAAGAAGCACCGGCUAACUCCGUG